rnacentral:tRNA from 1 species
CUAAGGAUGAUCCUUCAGCGAGCUUCGGCUUCUAUCGGAUCGUUUUAGAAACAUCAGUGGCCAACGGUCGUCAGGAUCGUUGAGCUGCAUUGGCGGGAUUUCGCCGUCUUCGUUUCUCUUUCUUCGCGGACGAACACGCGCUGGGGCUGCAGGCUUGCAGAUCCCUGGUCCUUGACUGGAUAUGCGUUAGGGGCUUGUAGCUCAGUUGGUUAGAGCGCGCGCUUGAUAAGCGUGAGGUCGGAAGUUCAAGUCUUCCCAGGCCCACCACACUCAUCGAGUGAGCAUUCGUCUUCUGGUUACGGGGCCAUAGCUCAGCUGGGAGAGCGCGUGCUUUGCAAGCAUGAGGUCGUCGGUUCGAUCCCGUCUGGCUCCACCAGAUGGUUUGAUCAUCGGCUGAUCGUACCUAAAUCGUCCGCGAAACAUCACUUCGCACUUGCUAGUCUGGAUAGACAGCAAGUUGCGUGAUUUCUGACAUCGUAAAGAGGAGAUCGAUCCGAGUUGGAUCGUGCAGCAAGCAAUUGCUACGCGGUACUCCAUUAUCUCCGGAUCAUUUCGGCGCUCGUGCGUCUUCCAGGGUAGCUCACAAGGCUGCGUUGAAAGACAUGCGAGUUGUAAAUGAUCCUUUUAGCGAAGCUUGACCGCCUCGCUAUCGGAACGAUCUUACGAAGCAAGCUGGUCUUUCUAAUCAUUGUCCGGCUGCAGAUAGCGUUCAUCGAGGGCGCGUGCCUUAGAGAUUUCGAUCUCUUGGCAAUUCUGCAGACAACAUUCUGCCGAGUGUGUGGACAUUGAUAAUGAGAGC